GAUGAAGAACGUAGCGAAAUGCGAUAAGUAAUGUGAAUUGCAGAAUUCAGUGAAUCAUCGAAUCUUUGAACGCACAUUGCGCCCGCCAGUAUUCUGGCGGGCAUGCCUGUUCGAGCGUCAUUACAACCCUCAGGCCCCCGGGCCUGGCGUUGGGGAUCGGCGGAAGCCCCCUGUGGGCACACGCCGUCCCUCAAAUACAGUGGCGGUCCCGCCGCAGCUUCCAUUGCGUAGUAGCUAACACCUCGCAACUGGAGAGCGGCGCGGCCAUGCCGUAAAACACCCAACUUCUGAAUGAUGACCUCGAAUCAGGUAGGAAUACCCGCUGAACUUAAGCAUAUCAAUAAGCGGAGGA
rnacentral:misc_RNA from 1 species